AGAGCCCGUUAUCUUCUUCUUUUCUUUCUCUUUCUUCUUUUUUCCUCGUCUUUCUUUCUUUUUCUCCGUUCUUCUCCUGCGAUGAUUCUGAGAAUCAAAAUAGUGGUUUUGAGAUUAAAGGAAGGAGAUACAAAUCGAGUAAUAACUGAUGCUGGUAGUUUUGCUUAUCAUUAAUGAUUCGGUUUUGAGUAAAAGGUGAAACGGAGGAUCAGAGUUAGGGUUUUUGAAAAUGAAUUCGGGUUGUCAAGUGAAUUCGUUGGUUAACUGGGUUGUUGUUAGAUGAAUAACAGAGGGGUUGGUGUUUAAUUAAAGUUUUGAAGUAGAUUAAGCGAUGAAUCGAAGAAUUAGGGUUUCAGAGAAAUUCAGAGCAGAUCGGGAAGAAGAAGAUUGACAGUGAUGAAGGUUAUGAAAUUGAGAGAAAAGAAGGGAAGUAGAAUCAGGCGAAGUUAGUGGUGGUGACACUGAUUCUCGUAUUGAUUCAAUUCAGAAAAUUGAGAAGAACAUAAAUGAAGCUUUCUCAAUUUAAUUUCUGUUAUUUGUGAAAUUGAGUUUUAAUUGAUGAUUUGAUUUACGAGUUUACUUCUAACUUGAGUAGAAAUGGUUGUUUGAAGUUUAAUUUUGAUUCCAAGAGAAUAUAGGGUUUCUGUUUUCUCUUGAGUUUGGAAUUAGGGCUUGUACUGAUGAUUUUGGAUAUGGAGUUAUGAUUUGAAGAUGAUAUAGAAUGGAACUGUGUUAGGGUUUUGCUGAUUUCAGGGAGAGGGUGUUGGAAGCAGUGAUUGCUUGAUUCCAGUUGGGGAUGAAGUCAGUUAUCUAGAAGAUUGGGAGUUCAACUGUUGCUGAUAGUGGUGGCUUAAUUAAUUACAGAGCUGUAAAGAUGGUGAUGCAAUUGAAUAGCCAGAGUCAUUAGUUGUGAUGAUUUUAAGACUUUUGGUUUAGAUGAAUGAGUUAGGAAGGUGUAUGAGUUGUACAGGUGAAAGUGGGAAAUGAUUUAGGAUUUGCAGAAGUGUUGAGAUUGAGCACAGAUGAGAUGAGUUUAGUUGUGGAGGUGUUGAAACGAUGAAGUUGUGGGUGAAGUUGAGUUAUGUAGUGGUGGUUGUGUAAUAGUUGGUGGGUUAUAGGGUUUUGUUGAAGGUUUUCCUAUGUAAAUGAUUGCAGGUGCAAGAGAAGUGAAAUAGAGUUGAUAAUGAAGUUGUGGUAUUACAGUUGAACCGCCUGAGAUGUUAAUGAUGUUGAUGUUGAAGUACAUAGAGAUUGGGUUACAAGCUGAGUUGAGGUUGAGUUGUGAGUUAGUCCUGCAGGCUAUGCUUGCUUCAGCAAAUGUUAUGGGACAAAAUCCUAGGUAUGUUGAUUCAGGUGCAACACAUCACUUGACUGCUGAUGCUUCUAAUAUUGCUUCAGCUUCUUCUUAUGGAGGCUCAGAAUCUGUCACUACUGCUAAUGGUGAAGUGUGCAGUGUGUGUUUCUUGGAUAUAGUUCUCAACACAAAGGUUACAGGUGUUUAAAUCCAUAUAAUGGAAACAACUCAGCUCACUGUGACUCUAUCAUUGCUUAUCUUUCCACAAAAUUUCCAGUAAAGGAUCUAGGAGCUCUACAUUAUUUCUUGGGUCUUGAAGUUAAAAGAAAUAGCAAAGGUCUUUUUCUCUGUCAAACUAAGUAUACACUGGACUUAUUAAGAAAGACAAAUCUGGUUCACUUCAAUACUUAACUUGGACAAGACCAGAAUUAUGCUUUGCAGUAAACCAACUUUGUCGGUUCAUGCAGUCUCCAACAACAACUCACUUAACUUCUGCAAAAAGAGUUUCUCAGAUAUGUCAAGGGUACUCUUGAUCAUGGUAUUCUUUUUACUAAAGGAUUCACUGCUCUUCAAGGUUUUUCAUAUGCAGACUGGGCAGAAAAUCCUGAUGACAGGAGAUCAACAAGUGGUUACUGCAUAUAUUUUGGAGAAAAUCCUGUUAGUUGGUCUGCCAAAAAGCAAGCCACUAUUUCCAAAUCUAGCACUGAAGCUGAGUAUAGGUAUUUAGCAUCAACUGUAGCUGAAGUUAUCUGGCUAUGCAAUCUUCUCAGAGACUUGCACAUCUUUCUGCCAACUUUACCAACUAUUGCUUGUGACAACAAAAGCUCUAUAUCUUUAGCUUCAAAUCCUAUUUUUCAUAGCAGGAUGAAGCAUCUUGCUUUAGAUUUUCAUUUUGUUAGAGAAAUGGUUCAAUCUAAGUCUUUACAGGUCAUAUAUCUUUCAACUCUGGAGCAAGCUGCUGACAUUUUCACUAAAGGACUAGCAGCUUCAUGGUUUGAGUUUCUGAAGAACAAAUUGAAGGUUUUAACACCCCUUCAUUUUGAGGGGGGUAGUAACAGAUAUUUAUUGUCUGUUUUAUUACUGUCUGUGUCUAGCUGUUAGUCCAGCUAAAGAAUUGACAAUUUUACUUGAAAUUUUCAAACCUGAAAUUCUGCCUCUGCUUUUUCUGCGAA